rnacentral:rRNA from 1 species
AUUGAACGCUGGCGGCAUGCCUUACACAUGCAAGUCGAACGGUAACAGGUCUUCGGAUGCUGACGAGUGGCGAACGGGUGAGUAAUACAUCGGAACGUGCCCGAGAGUGGGGGAUAACGAAGCGAAAGCUUUGCUAAUACCGCAUACGAUCUCAGGAUGAAAGCAGGGGACCGCAAGGCCUUGCGCUCACGGAGCGGCCGAUGGCAGAUUAGGUAGUUGGUGGGAUAAAAGCUUACCAAGCCGACGAUCUGUAGCUGGUCUGAGAGGACGACCAGCCACACUGGGACUGAGACACGGCCCAGACUCCUACGGGAGGCAGCAGUGGGGAAUUUUGGACAAUGGGCGCAAGCCUGAUCCAGCCAUGCCGCGUGCAGGAUGAAGGCCUUCGGGUUGUAAACUGCUUUUGUACGGAACGAAAAGACUCUGGUUAAUACCUGGGGUCCAUGACGGUACCGUAAGAAUAAGCACCGGCAAACUACGUGCCAGCAGCCGCCGUAACAC